rnacentral:rRNA from 1 species
GACGAACGCUGGCGGCGUGCUUAACACAUGCAAGUCGAACGAAGAGCGAUGGAAGCUUGCUUCUAUCACUCUUAGUGGCGAACGGGUGAGUAACGCGUAAUCAACCUGCCCUUCAGAGGGGGACAACAGUUGGAAACGACUGCUAAUACCGCAUACGAUCUGACCUCGGCAUCGAGGAUAGAUGAAAGGUGGCCUCUAUUUAUAAACUAUCACUGAAGGAGGGGAUUGCGUCUGAUUAGCUAGUUGGAGGGGUAACGGCCCACCAAGGCGAUGAUCAGUAGCCGGUCUGAGAGGAUGAACGGCCACAUUGGGACUGAGACACGGCCCAGACUCCUACGGGAGGCAGCAGUGGGGAAUCUUCCGCAAUGGACGAAAGUCUGACGGAGCAACGCCGCGUGAGUGAUGACGGCCUUCGGGUUGUAAAGCUCUGUUAAUCGGGACGAAAGGCCUUCUUGCGAAUAGUUAGAAGGAUUGACGGUACCGGAAUAGAAAGCCACGGCUAACUACGUG